GGUAAAAUGGCCGACAAAGGUGAUAAAUUGUAAAUUUAUUUAUGAAUUUUUUAAUUCUUUUACCA
rnacentral:tRNA from 1 species